UACGAAGGGGGCUAGCGUUGCUCGGAAUCACUGGGCGUAAAGCGCACGUAGGCGGAUUGCUAAGUCAGGGGUGAAAUCCUGGAGCUCAACUCCAGAACUGCCUUUGAUACUGGCAACCUUGAGUCCGGGAGAGGUGAGUGGAACUGCGAGUGUAGAGGUGAAAUUCGUAGAUAUUACGCAAGAACACCAGUGGCGAAGGCGGCUCACUGGCCCGGUACUGACGCUGAGGUGCGAAAGCGUGGGGAGCAAACAGG
rnacentral:rRNA from 1 species